rnacentral:rRNA from 1 species
AGCGAACGCUGGCGGCAGGCCUAACACAUGCAAGUCGAACGGAUCCUUCGGGGUUAGUGGCGGACGGGUGAGUAACACGUGGGAACGUGCCCUUUGGUUCGGAACAACUCAGGGAAACUUGAGCUAAUACCGGAUGUGCCCUUCGGGGGAAAGAUUUAUCGCCAUUGGAGCGGCCCGCGUCUGAUUAGCUAGUUGGUGAGGUAAAGGCUCACCAAGGCGACGAUCAGUAGCUGGUCUGAGAGGAUGAUCAGCCACAUUGGGACUGAGACACGGCCCAAACUCCUACGGGUGGCAGCAGUGGGGAAUCUUGCGCAAUGGGCGAAAGCCUGACGCAGCCAUGCCGCGUGAAUGAUGAAGGUCUUAGGAUUGUAAAAUUCUUUCACCGGGGACGAUAAUGACGGUACCCGGAGAAGAAGCCCCGGCUAACUUCGUGCCAGCCGCCGCAGUAAAAC